rnacentral:rRNA from 1 species
UGGGGAAUAUUGGACAAUGGACCGAGAGUCUGAUCCAGCAAUUCUGUGUGCACGAUGAAGUUUUUCGGCAUGUAAAGUGCUUUCAGUUGGGAAGAAAGAAAUGACGGUACCAACAGAAGAAGUGACGGCUAAAUACGUGCCAGCAGCCGCGGUAAUACGUAUGUCACGAGCGUUAUCCGGAUUUAUUGGGCGUAAAGCGCGUCUAGGUGGUUAUGUAAGUCUGAUGUGAAAAUGCAGGGCUCAACUCUGUAUUGCGUUGGAAACUGUAUAACUAGAGUACUGGAGAGGUAAGCGGAACUACAAGUGUAGAGGUGAAAUUCGUAGAUAUUUGUAGGAAUUCCGGUGGGGAAGCAAGCUUACUGGACAGAUACUGACGCUAAAGCGCGAAAGCGUGGGUAGCAAACAGG